rnacentral:rRNA from 1 species
AUUGAACGCUGGCGGCAGGCCUAACACAUGCAAGUCGAACGAGUGGCGGACGGGUGAGUAAUGUCUGGGAAACUGCCCGAUGGAGGGGGAUAACUACUGGAAACGGUAGCUAAUACCGCAUACCAUCGGAUGUGCCCAGAUGGGAUUAGCUAGUAGGUGGGGUAAAGGCUCACCGAGGCGACGAUCCCUAGCUGGUCUGAGAGGAUGACCGACCACACUGGAACUGAGACACGGUGCCAACUCCUACGUGAGGGAGCAGUGGGGAAUAUUGAACAAUGGGCGCAAGUCGGAUGCAGCCAUGCCGCGUGUAGGAAGAAGUCCUUAGGGUUGUAAAGUACUUUCGGCGGGGAGGCGUUACCCGCAGAAGAAGCACCGGGUAACUCCGUGCCAGCAGCCGCGGUAAUAC